UGGAUCCAGACUUGAUUCUGGCUCAGGAUGAACGCUAGCUACAGGCUUAACACAUGCAAGUCGAGGGGAAACGACAUCGAAAGCUUGCUUUUGAUGGGCGUCGACCGGCGCACGGGUGAGUAACGCGUAUCCAACCUGCCCACCACUUGGGGAUAACCUUGCGAAAGUAAGACUAAUACCCAAUGACGUCUCUAGAAGACAUCUGAAGGAGAUUAAAGAUUUAUCGGUGAUGGAUGGGGAUGCGUCUGAUUAGCUUGUUGGCGGGGUAACGGCCCACCAAGGCGACGAUCAGUAGGGGUUCUGAGAGGAAGGUCCCCCACAUUGGAACUGAGACACGGUCCAAACUCCUACGGGAGGCAGCAGUGAGGAAUAUUGGUCAAUGGGCGAGAGCCUGAACCAGCCAAGUAGCGUGCAGGAAGACGGCCCUAUGGGUUGUAAACUGCUUUUAUGCGGGGAUAAAGUGAGUCACGUGUGGCUUAUUGCANGUACCGCAUGAAUAAGAACCGGCUAAUUCCGUGCCAGCAGCCGCGGUAAUACGGAAGGU
rnacentral:rRNA from 1 species